UGAGAACCUUUGAAGAAGACAGGGACGUUUAGGAGCCAAAACCAAAGGCCUUACCCAGUUCUUUGCAUAUUGACUGAGCAGAAGCAGUUCAAACACCUGCAAAGCCCAGAAAUGAAUAAUCAGACCCAAGUGACUGCCUUGCAUAAGAAUAAUUUGCUCGUCAUAUCCCGGAUUGCCCAAAGAGUUGAAAUAAAUAAAAAUGAAAGAAGUGUUUUAGAAGCCAGUUCAGCUCCUAGGCCCAAACCAAGAAUUAAACCUGGGGCUUUUUGUAAGUGCGGGCCAAUAAAUGGGCUGUGAAGUUAAACCGCCGGUGGCUCCUCUAAACACACCCAGGCAGGGCAAGCAGGAUGUCCUUGUCCAGGGAGACCUCUUCUCCUGGCUUUGGGGAAGGUGCUCCCUGUCCCCAAGGGAGGCUGGGACUGCAGGACGCAGCGCCCGGCGGGUGAGAGAAAGUCCGGGCAGAAGAUCACGAAGCUGGCGACUGGAAGCGAGCGCGGGGCGGGGUGGAGAGCCUCUCCCCAGGUGCCGCUGCUGUUGUCCCGGGUGCUGAAAAGCCGGGAACUUCCCGAGAAGCAGAGGCACUUUUCUCCCUGGAAGGUGGGCGUAGGGGUUCCAGGCGGCGCACCUGCUAAACCCGCUUGGUCCCCCGCGAGGGGUCCGCCAGAUGUGCCCCUCCCCAGCCCCUUUUGGGGUCUGGGGCGUGGGGAUGAGCACAGCCGGGCACCACAGGCGGGACCGCGGGUUGCCCUUCCCCUCCUCUCCUGGGUAGCCUAGCGCCAGGAUCCCCACUCCACCUGCGCGCGAACUCUCGCCAUCUGGUACUCAAGCGCCUGCAGUGAGAGCGCUGCGGUAAACAGAAGGCACCCGCGUGGGUUCCCAGUUUUUUGGGGGCGUGGAUGUAUUGGGUUUUGGGGAGCACGAUCGGGGCAUUCGCAGUGGGGAGGAGGAGGUGUUGAUAGCCGGGGCCGCGGCGCUGCUGGCAGGCGCGAGCUGCCUGUGCUAAGGCCGUUCCCUGCAGGGCGAGUUCGUGGGCGACCGUGAACAACCCCGACGUGCGGCCCAGCGCCUCGCUCUGCUGGGGCAUCUUCACCAACGACUUCUGGGGCCAGGGCAUGGCCGAGAACACCAGCCACAAGUCCCACCGGCCACUCUGCACCCUCACCUUCAAGUGCACUCCUGUCCAAGGCUCCCCGCCGCGCCUUGGCUGGGACGUGUCGCGGAGUUGUGGGACUGGCUUUUAAAAAUUUUUUCCGGGCCCUCCCUCCGAGGUCCCCUCCAUUCUCAGUUGCCCACGCCUCUCCCCAGUAUGGUUAACGCCCCAGCCUCUCUGGGCUUCUAGGGCUAGGUUUGCUAAGCAACAUACAGAGCGUCCUGUAUUUUUGUUUGCUAAGUCCAACAGUUCUACCUGGAGCGGUUCAAGAGGGACAGGUUGGGGAGUUUGAAUCGUCUGUGCUCUUCAGUGGCUUUUCCCUGGGUGCAGAGCUGGAACGCACUCCCAUGUUGCCCUCCAGACCUGUGGGGCCGCUGCAAAAGAAAAUCUGCGUGAACUCAACGGCCUUGGAUGGAGCGGGCAGGAGCUGCUUCCAAGUUGAGACCCUUUGCAGAUUGGUGAGCAACUUUGCAAUGAGGAGCAGGAUCCUGAGAGAGAACAGAAGACCCUGACCCAUUGGUGCUCACUGAGCCUUGCCAACCUGUCAGAAAUGUUCGCCAUCGAGACUUGAAAGCAAAGAAAGUAAGGCCCAAGGAAAAGAAGAUCUAUGCAGAGUGCAUAUGCACAUUUUUCAAUAGGAUGCAUAUGGACCACCAGAGGUGAUAUAUGCCUUCUUGACAUCACUUUAUGCAACUCAUAAGAGUGUAGUAAUAGAAUAAUGAUACCAUCUCUCAAGAUGACUUUUAUUUU
rnacentral:lncRNA from 10 species